GUAUCUGUAGCUCAGCUGGAUAGAGUGUCUCCCUCCGAAGGAGAAGGUCAGCGGUUCGAAUCCGCUCAGAUACACCA
rnacentral:tRNA from 1 species